GGACCUGAUGCAGCCAUGCCGCGUGUGUGAAGAAGGCCUUCGGGUUGUAAAGCACUUUCAGUUGUGAGGAAAAGUUAGUAGUUAAUACCUGCUAGCCGUGACGUUAACAACAGAAGAAGCACCGGCUAACUCCGUGCCAGCAGCCGCGGUAAUACGGAGGGUGCGAGCGUUAAUCGGAAUUACUGGGCGUAAAGCGCACGCAGGCGGUUUGUUAAGCUAGAUGUGAAAGCCCCGGGCUCAACCUGGGAUGGUCAUUUAGAACUGGCAGACUAGAGUCUUGGAGAGGGGAGUGGAAUUCCAGGUGUAGCGGUGAAAUGCGUAGAUAUCUGGAGGAACAUCAGUGGCGAAGGCGACUCCCUGGCCAAAGACUGACGCUCAUGUGCGAAAGUGUGGGUAGCGAACAGGAUUAGAUACCCUGGUAGUCCACACCGUAAACGCUGUCUACUAGCUGUGUGUGUCUUUAAGACGUGCGUAGCGAAGCUAACGCGCUAAGUAGACCGCCUGGGGAGUACGGCCGCAAGGUUAAAACUCAA
rnacentral:rRNA from 1 species